GCCACAGUAGUUCAUUUGCGUCUCAGUUUCACCGCAGGCAUCUAUCUGACUCAUAUCGUAGUCAGCCAUAGAGGUCAGUACUGCCUCAGAACAAGUCUGGGGUGGAGCGCUGCUCAGCUUCAGUUUGCCUUCUGUUCAAAUAGAUCUUCAUCGUGGAACUGUGACAUGGCAAGCAUGGGUUUAUCUUUUUGUUCUGUAGAAACAAUCAUUUAUAAGCUAUAAGUACAGAGAUCGUUAUUGUGCUUAAGGUUGCAGGGAGUUCAGAGAGUCAGCAUAGAGAUGGCCCCCUUUCAGUUUUAAAUUCAGGCUCAAAUGCCCUUUGGAAAACUCGGCAGCCCCUUGGAAGCCGGCGAGAGCUAAAGGAGUGGCAACAAGGCUGAGUUCAGUUCCAGUGAAGUUUCACUUGCAGAAACUUUGGGGAGGUGUUCUAGGAGAUCAAGUGGUAGGUCACAGGGUCCCUGUCUGCUGGCACUGUUCAGUCCUGAUAAGAAAAAGGCACACAAACAGCUAGGGCAAAAACAAUGGGUUUAAGUACAUAUUUGGGGCUUCAUUCAGUUUCUGUGCGGUUAAAAAGAUGGGUUUCCAGGUUUUGGCCCCUCUAGUGACAUGCUAGGAGAGAGGAGAGAUAGGUACCUCUAAGUGGGCCAUUCCUUCAUAGUCCCAGUGAGCUUAGAAAACAGUACUUUAAAAAGAAAGUGGAACAAGGCUUUUUCCUCAGCUGUCAUUAGACACCCUCAAAAUCCAAAAAGUAGCCUUAGGGUAGAAGCGCCCUGAGCCAGCACACCCAGGACAAGAAACUGCAGGGCUUGGGGGUCAUUGCCAAGUGGUGAGAUGAACCUGAUAGGGUUCCUAAAUAACAGCAUGCCCUCAGCCUCAGGCCUGACUUCAUGCUAUUCCAGUCGUGUGACCUGUCUCCUCCACGGAUCUAAGAUAACACUUAUCGCAGCCGGCCUUGGAAUCCGGUUGCUUGUGCGUGGCCCUGCUUUCAGCACUGAAUGUGAGCGCAAUGACCAUGACUUACUCAACUCUAUGCCCCAGAACACUUGGCAUAGGCCCUGGCCCUCGGCGGAUGCCCAGAAACUGUGCAGAGCUGGUUGGAAUUUUGGCAGGACUCCUUGCUUCUCACUGGGCAUCUGCACACACACAAGAAAGUGUUCAAACAAAUUACAGAGAUACUGUGGUUGCCUUGGAAUAGACUGUCUGCCCUGCAGCCAUUGUAGUGCAUUUUGUGAAAAGAAUGCACUUUCUUUGGUCUGAAGUGUGACAACCUCCUCAGGAAAGGUAGUACUCCACUGACAGUCUCAGAGGAAGGGACUGCAGUGCUCCAGGAAUCAGAAGUGCUGUCCUCUCACUCACCUAGUCAGAUGGUCUAGAAGGGAGUCUCUACGGUGGAGCCCACAUGGACUGCACUAUGGAUAUUUUAAGUCGCUGAAGUUUGGAAUUGUUUAUACCAUAGCACAACUUACUCUGAAUAGGCAAUCAUCAGUCACUCACUCUAUGAUAACAUCUGAGUUAUCCAUUCAUUACCAAAUGUGUUGUGCUCCCAAAAGACCAUGUCCAGCCAUGACUAGAGCUGGUGAAUAAAAUGGAACAAGAGAGAUCCUGUGCCCCUCA
rnacentral:lncRNA from 1 species